GUGAAGACCACAGUUUCCUGUCGCGUGGAUGUGUUUCCUCUCUGGCCAUUGCCAUCCGCCCAAAUCUACAGACAUCCCGCAUGUUCCCGGGCUCGUCUCCCCAAUACAGGGCACCAAGGUGAGUGCAAGGUGCAUGGGCAGCGCCGUUUCCUCCAUCAAGGAAACCGGGCUGCGGGCCGUCGGUGGGCGGCUGGUCUGCUGGGUCUAGAGGAGGGAGGGCCUCAAGCCGCGUGCUUUUCACCGUCUGAGUAUCUGAAGCCUCAAAGCCAUGUCUGUCGCCUACAAAAAGUGGGUCGGUGUUUACGACCUGUGUCCCAUGUUUUUAGCAUCCUACCAAGGCGAAUCCAUUGACCAGGAUUUAAGUUGAGACUCCCCCAGGACCCCGGGUGCAGCAUCUGGGUCCCCCUGCCCCGCCCUGCCUUGCGCCGCAGCCGCUUCCGUUGUCCUGCCAGGCUGUAGACUGCGCAGCCCUCCUGGAGACAGAUGGAAGCUCCUUGGGUCGACAGAUUACAGCUUCUGGAACCCCCUACUCCCUUCAACUCCGAGAUGGACACCCACUGUCCAGGGAGAGGAUGCCUGGAAAUAACAGCUGGGAUCUACAGUGGCCAAAGAGUUGUCUCCGUCUUGCUACAUCGACAAACUGUGCCAGGAGCGACGGUACACUCCAGAGUGCUGUGCCCUGAUGGGCCUUUGAGUGGCCAGUGCAGUGGAUCAUCAGCCCUGUCUCCCAAGAGCUCCAGUCCCUUCUCCGGAGAGGAAGUGGGUCCACUGGCAGCUCAGGAGGCCAUAGCAGGAUUGUCACGUGUGCUCAACAGUCCUCCUCGGCUUUCCAGAAGAGGCUGGAACAGGGCCCUUGAAGAUGUUUGUGGACAUCAGAGGGCCAAAGACGACACAAAGUGAAACUGGAGACACCGCCCCCCCUUGGCAUCAUGAAACUGCCGAUGUUACUGGCUCAUGCAUGGGAGACACCAGCAUACAAAGUCUUGACACCAACACCUCAGAGGGCUGUGUUCUGUCCCCGUGACCAUCAUCUAGUGCCUGGAAAGACUAGUGACAAGAACUUGUUGCCAACUUCCUAUUACCUCCCUAACAGUUGUGCAAUAAACCCCAUAGGUUAAUUC
rnacentral:lncRNA from 1 species